ACCUGGCUGGCUCAGUUGGUAGAGCAUGUGACUCUUAAUCUCAGGGUCAUGGAUUGGAGCUCCAUGCUGGGCG
rnacentral:tRNA from 1 species